rnacentral:rRNA from 1 species
AUUGAACGCUAGCGGGAUGCUUUACACAUGCAAGUCGAACGAGUGGCGGACGGGUGAGUAAUAUAUCGGAACGUGCCCAGUAGCGGGGGAAACCUCCUGGAAAGAGUGGCAAAUACCGCAACCUAUUGGAGGGGCCAAUAUCGGAUUAGCUAGUUGGUGGGGUAAAGGCUCACCAAGGCAACGACCCGUAGCUGGUUUUAGAGGACGACCAGCCAAACUGGGACUGAGACACGGCCCAGACUCCUACGGGAGGCAGCAGUGGGGAAUUUUGGACAAUGGGGGAAACCCUGAUCCAGCCAUCCCGCGUGUAUGAGAAGGCCUUCGGGUUGUAAAGUACUUUUGGCAGAGAAGCGGUAUCUGCAGAAUAAGCACCGGCUAACUACGUGCCAGCAGCCGCGGUAAUAC